rnacentral:tRNA from 1 species
CGGGGAGGGGGAGGUUUCGGGUAUGGGCGUGAUCUGACCGCACCACCACGUUCGGGACGUGGGGAUCGAGUGUUCGAAUCACUCCACUCCGACCA